rnacentral:rRNA from 1 species
UACGGAGGGUGCAAACGUUGUCCGGAAUCACUGGGCGUAAAGCGCAUGUAGGUGGUUAUGUAAGUGAGCGAUUAAAGCCUGACGCUUAACGUCAGUACUGUUACUCAUACUGCAUGACUAGAGGAAGACAGGGGUAAGCGGAACUUUAGGUGUAGGAGUGAAAUCCGUAGAUAUCUAAAGGAACACCAAUGGCGAAGGCAGCUUACUGGGUCUUUUCUGACACUGAGAUGCGAAAGCGUGGGGAGCGAACGGG